UUUAAAUAUAGGGGAUGUUAUGCCGAAAGUUUAGUAGGAUUUGUUAUUAGUUUUGGGUUAAUGAUUUUUUUUCAUCUCUUUGCAGUGAAGAAAAACACCCAGGGACCUUGUCGGCAAUUGAAGACGGCGAAUGUUACCCGGGUGACCAACGGUCGUAUCCCAAUCAGAUAUGAUGAGUGACAUCGAGUAGCACCAACCGUGAAGUAGCAUAGUGCAUAGGCCCACGACAUUGGGCAUGUCGUGCUGACCUUUUGCCCUAUGCGGUGGAAGUCUUGGAAGGCGAUGUCAGAGGAGACGAAGAACACGGUGUGCAACCAAUUGUCCACAAACUACAAUUUGGAGGACAUGGACGAGGACAUGUUCAUGUACCUCAAUCGGCUCUUCUCUGAACGCUACAAGUAGUGGAAGAGUGACCUGCACCAAUGUUUCUAGCAAUUUGAUGAUCCGCAUGUCGCUCUUAAGGAGGGUUAUCCGAAGGAGUUGGAGGAUUGACAAGAUAGUUGGGUUUGGCUUUACGGUCAUUUUUAGAAGCCGGGCUAUGUGAAGAAGGUGAAGGCGAGCAAGAUCAAUCGAGAGAAGAGGACUCUUCUCCACCAUUCGGGUUCAAGGCCUUUCUCCUAUAGGAUGGAGGCGCGAUGGAAGGAGGGUUCAAAAUUUCCAGAGAUCGAUGUCUUUGCUGACGUUUAUGUUCGGCCUAGGAAUGAGUUGAUCGAGUCCCUUCAUGCGACUAUGAUGGAGAAAAGUCAUUCGAUGCUUCAAGAGUCCGCCUUCUAGCUUCCCUCAGACAUGCCGAUUGAGUCUGUGGAUCCACCUGAGGAUGCAAGGUUUCACAUCGUCAUAGAAACGUUGGACCAGACUUUUGGUCAAAGGCCAGGGACUUAUUGUCAGGGGAUGGGAAAUGCCAGGCAGCAGGAGAGUAGAGCCUCAUCAUCAUCGCAAUCAAAGGGCUAGGUUACGGCUUUGACAUAAGAAGUCGAUGGCCUGAGGAGUGAGCUGGCAUCGUACAAGUCUCAAAUGUCGAUGCUUGUACAAGCCCUCAGUUCUUCCGGAAUACAUCUUCCCAGUUUUUUUGCACCAUCGCCCUCACAGCCCAUCCACACCGAGCAAGCACAGCAAUCAGACCCGUCGACCUCCGACCCCGUCCCUAACCAGCAGCAAGAUCCUUCGAACGACAUUCCUAUAGAUUUUCCCUUUAUUUUUAUUUUUAUUUUUAUUUUAUAAUUUUGUUCUUACUUUCUUUUAAAACUUUAUA